rnacentral:rRNA from 1 species
UACGUGGGGUGCAAGCGUUGUUCGGAAUUACUGGGCGUAAAGGGCGCGUAGGCGGUCCGCUAAGUUGGAUGUGAAAACUCUGGGCUUAACCCAGAGCCUGCAUUCAAAACUGACGGGCUAGAGUUCUGGAGGGGGUAGCGGAAUUCCUGGUGUAGCGGUGAAAUGCGUAGAUAUCGUAAGGAAGACCAGUGGCGAAGGCGGGUCUCUGGACAGUUCCUGACGCUGAGGCACGAAGGCCAGGGGAGCAAACGGG